rnacentral:lncRNA from 1 species
AAAACUUUUAAUUUUAACGGAGGUUUGUUAAUAGAGGUUCUAAUAACCCCAGAUAAUACAUGUGCAUAUCGAGGGUUUUUUAAACCUCUGGUAAAUUUCCAUGAUUAUUUAAGAAACCACAAUAAAAUUACAUAUUCUAAUUUUCCACCUCAUUUUUUUCACUUUCAAAGUUUUUCAUACACUGGUUUUGUUGGAGGACUGAAUUUUUGGAGGAAGCACAGUUUCAGACACGGUACAUUCCUUUAAACAAUUUUUUUCUUUCUGUAUAGUCCUAGAAAACGUUCCCGUUCAAAAUUCAAAUUAACUCUUCCCAUUUUCAUCUUUCAAACAGAAUUAAUAUCUUUUGGAGAAUUUUUGGCACACAAAGAUUUCUCUGUUCUUGUACUACGGCUCCAAUUGAUGAUUUAUUUGAUCCUAUUUGAUUUCUCUAAAUUGGUUUCUUUCCCCAUUUCUCAUGCCCUAUUUCUUUGCCUACCGCUUUGUGAUGCGUUUUUCUUUCGGUGUUGCGUUUAAUGGUGAGUUUUCUUUCCAGCGGUGCAUUUCACUAGUUCGGAAUCAUUUUUUGGAACACUCUCUCGGGUUCGUUUUUCGUUUCGCUCUUCUUUAGUUUUUGCUCUUCUUACAACAUAGAGGGAAAGAGUUAUUUGAUGUUUAAAAGGAAUGAAUGAGUUUUAUGGAAACAUAGGGUGACAAAGGUGUUAAGUUUUUAUUAAAGCAGGGAUUUAUUUUGUGGUUGCAUUUUGCCCUGUUGCGCAGGAAUAUUGGAGCAUGUGAUUGUGGCGAGGAAUGGAAGGCUUCAGGUUGAGAAGUAGAUGGUAAGGUCUUCAAAUUUGAUAGUAUCCUUAAGAAAAUGUUUGUGAGGAGUUCUCUCUUUCGUGGAGAAAUUGACGAAAAAAUUGGGCAUACGGUUCCUUAUUAGUUAGUUACUAACUAAAUUUUGAUGUGAAUUUUAUCUAAAUAAUUAAGUUGUUGAUUUGGUCCAAUCUCACAUUUAUGUAUUGGAAUAACAUUGAUUUAUGGAAAAUCGUGCGGCUAUAGAUAUUAUGAAUGAUAUUUUCUGAUAAAAAAAAAUACUAAGAACAGUGAGAAAGAGAUGUGUUAUUGAAAAUCAUGCAUGCAAUAUUUUUCCUCUCCCCUUCUUCUUAUUGGAUUGUUGAUUCAUUAAUCUAAUUAGACUUUGAAAUUCUGAAAAUGCUGGCCAUGAUGCAUCACAUGAAACUAGCAGAUUGUGACCAACAGGUUGCAUUAUACCAUAUAGUUUUCUUAGGUUAGAUGAGUUUUUGAGGAGUUUAACAAGUUCUAUAAUAACUCUUUUCCUUGUUUCCCCUGAAGUAUGUGUAUAUAUGUGUUAUAUAAUAAUUAUACUUGAAAUAUAAUUUGUUUGUUUGAUAUCUUUUAUAUACAUAAUAUUGAUUUGCUGAUAAAAAAAUUAAAAUAUAUUUAAAUCUUACAAUUAAUUAGUAAUGGUAUCCAUACUGUAAAUAAAUAUAUUAAGUAUCCAUAAACACUGCAAUAUGUGUAAAAUAUGUAAACACUGCUUAUGAGCCUGUGAAUUUAGACUGAUAUUACAAGGAUCUGUAUUUUCACUCAUGUUUCUUGCACCAUCUUUUAUAUCUCAUUUUCUUUAUCUCUCGGGUGGCUGACUCCAAAAAGAUAUCAAAUAACUCUUUCCUACAAGUGAUUUAUAAUGAAGUAUACAAUUAUAUCAACAAAUUAUAAUACUAACCUCUUAUAAAACCUUACUAGACUACUUAAAUUUUACUUAAAAUAAUUUUAUUUUCUUAAUUAAAAUUGAAUCCUUUUUAUAGUCAUUGGUAUGUUAGUUUUAAUGGAUCUUGUUUAUAAUUUUGCCAGGUUGCCCCGUAAUUCUUCCAAGGAAAAGUGAAUUUGUGCUCUUGUUGCUACAAGGAAAUAUCAUAUUCUGGUUGUAGUUUUCAUAUAGUUCUGAAUGGUGUCAUCAACAUUAUGCUAAAGUUGGAAGUAUUAGGAACUGAAAUUUGUUUUUAAAUUAGAAUAAAUAAUGUAGUAUUAGUUUAACUAUAAUAUAUAUAUAUAUAUAUAUUCCUAUGGUAUGAAAAAUAUUUAAUAGUUUACUGUAGACUCUGCACAUACAAUAGAUUAGUUCUUUGUAAAACUAUUACCGAAUUUACAUUUUGUAUGUGCAGAAUAUUUACUAAAUAGUUUGGAUGCUAUGCUUCCUAGUUUCUAGUAAGAAAAAGAACAUAUACAUAUUAUGUUAUAAAAGUAAUGAGAUCAAUGGAUGAGUCCAGA